GUUCGCUUCAGGAGCAAAAAGACACUAAAACUGGAAUGAUACAGAGAAAAUUAGCAUGGCCUCUGUGCAAGGUGACAACACAAAUUUGUGAAGCAGUCUAUAUUUUU